CCUACGGGCGGCAGCAGUGAGGAAUAUUGGUCAAUGGACGCGAGCCUGAACCAGCCAAGUCGCGUGAAGGAUGACGGCCCUAUGAGUUGUAAACUGCUUUUGUAAGAGAGUAAAGUGAGACACGUGUACCUUUUUGUAUGUACUGUAUGAAUAAGGAUCGGCUAACUCCGUGCCAGCAGCCGCGGUAAUACGGAGGAUCCGAGCGUUAUCCGGAUUUAUUGGGUUUAAAGGGAGCGUAGAUGGGUUGUUAAGUCAGUUGUGAAAGUUUGAGGCUCAACCUUAGAAUUGCAAUUGAUACUGGCAGCCUAGAGUACAGUUGAGGUAGGCGGAAUUUGUGGUGUAGCGGUGAAAUGCAUAGAGAUCAUACAGAACACCGAUUGCGAAGGCAUCUCACGAAGCUGCGAUUGACGUUGAUGCACGAAAGCGUGGGUAGCAAACAGGAUUAGAUACCCCAGUAGUC
rnacentral:rRNA from 1 species